rnacentral:rRNA from 1 species
CCUACGGGUGGCAGCAGUGAGGAAUAUUGGUCAAUAGACGAGAGUCUGAACCAGCCAAGUAGCGUGAAGGAUGACUGCCCUAUGGGUUGUAAACUUCUUUUAUAUGGGAAUAAAAUGUUCCACGUGUGGGAGUUUGUAUGUACCAUAUGAAUAAGGAUCGGCUAACUCCGUGCCAGCAGCCGCGGUAAUACGGAGGAUCCGAGCGUUAUCCGGAUUUAUUGGGUUUAAAGGGGGCGUAGGUGGAUUGUUAAGUUAGUGGUGAAAGGUUGGGGCUCAACCCUGACAAUGGCAUUGAAACUGGCAGUCUUGAGUACAGUAGCGGUGGGCGGAAUGCGUGGUGUAGCGGUGAAAUGCUUAGAGAUCACGAAGAACUCCGAUUGCGAAGGCAGCUUACCGGACUGCAACUGACACUGAGGCUCGAAAGUGUGGGUAGCAAACAGGAUUAGAUACCCGAGUAGUC